AAAUAUAACAAUAUUAAAAUUUAAUGAUAUUAGACUAUCAAACGAAAUUCUUAAGUAAUGCUUUGAUGAAUUAGGUUAGUCAAAUACACAGAGAUGUUGAUAGUGUUCAAAUUAUGAAAUGACUUUAUUCAUAAAGAAUGCUGGUGGAGCAGGCAUGAUCUAAAAUGGGAUGUAGAGAUAUUUAACUUUUAUGGAAAGGAAUGAUCUGAAAAGUACAUUCUUAAAACAGUUUUCCUUAAAGGAAAAAUGAAAAAAUCUAGUUGACCCAUCUCUUUUUUUUCAGGUGGAAGAUGCUUACUGCUUUGGUUGCCCAGAAGAACUAUGGCUGUCACUGAUAAUCAUGACUGACAGAUCAGCAAGGAAAGCCUGCCAGACCUUCCCUCGUUCCUAGCCAAGACUCAACACCGAUUAAACUUCUCAAUUUGUAAUUUACUAAACUUUCUAAUCACAAGUUUUGGCCUUAAAGAAACAAGCAAGCAAACAAACAAAGCCAACACUAAAAACAAGCAACCAAACCCAAAACAGAAACAUAAAUAUUGAUUUCUUGACUAAUGCAUAGCCACUGAUUUUAAAAACUCUGUGUAUAUUCCAAAAGUCACUGAUACGUGUAAUCCAUUUGAUCCACACAAGGAUAAAACAAAGACAAAUUAAGAGAAUUAGGACUAAAUUCCCUUUUGAGUCUGGUAAAGCCAUUCCUGUCUCACUAAGGAAUUAUCUGCCUCUAGUUUCUCUCGAAAAAUCCAUAGAAGUAAUCUACCGAAGUUUUGUGCCGAAGUUUUCCAUCUCAUCUGAAGAAGCAAAGAAGACCUAGAGAACCUAGAGACCUAGAGCACAAUGUUCCAGGAUCAGAAAGGAAGAAGCAACUGGAGACGGCUAUAAAAGGAGAAGCAGAAGAGGCAAUCCCAGAACUCGCCAAAGAAAGAUGGUGGUGAACUAAGUGACACUUCUUUGGGCUCAUCAUCCAGGGUGGCCAAUGAGGAUUGGCAGCAUGGUUUGGCCGGCUAAGAUCAGACCUUCAGAUUGGCCUAUGUACUUAACAGGAUAGGAAAAGACCUCCUUGAUUCUACACCCCACUUUCUUAAGGGGUAAUUCAUCACCUAAUCAUCAGCUGGGAAACAGUGUGGUAAAGAGGGAAGGUGAUAGCCACAAAGACCUACGUUGGAUACUUGGCUUAUUUUUACAUGUUGUGUGACCUUGAGCAAGUUUAUUUUAACCUCUCUAAGCUGGUUUCUUUGUCUAUAAAAAAGAGAUUGUAAUAUUGAUCAUAGGGUUUUCAUAGAGAUUAAAUAAUGACACAGCUAAAGCAAAGCACACAUAGCACUAUAUUUUUCUAGUAGUAAGCAUCAAUAACCUGCUCUUAUUAGUGCUUUUCAAAGAAGGUAAGCCAAGUCCUAGACACUAAAAAAAUGCAACAGGGCUACAUUGACAAUCAAUAGUAUCUCCAAAGGAUCUCUACUUGAAAACUAUUUUCAAAUUAUUUUUAUUCCACAUUACAUUGCACGUAUUUCUUUUGCACUAAAACCUUCAAAGGUACAGCAAUGAUAAAGGAAAAAGAAAGAAACCACAAACUUGGUAACCAAAUCACAGGACUGGUUAAAAUGGUAACACUAUUAAUUAAUUUUGAAGGUAAAAAGAAAAAAUAUCCAUUCAACAGUACUUAACUGUUUCUUUGACAGUAUAUAAAUAAUCCAUAACUCUGGAUAUCCUUUCUCUGUUAUUAAUGCGUGACCUUGGGCAAAUCUGUUACUCUCUGGGUUGCAACUCUAAAAUAAGGGGACUGGUCCAGAGAGUUCUGAAAUGAUGUGUGUAUAAAUGAAAUUAAAAGUAGUGUCGAUGCAGCUGGUCUAUAGGCACUUUAAUAGUCAACUUACGUAUUAAA